GCCUACGGACAUACCACCCUGAACGUGCUGGAUCUCUUCUCAUCUCUGAUGCUAAGCAGGGUCAAGGAAGCCAUACUGCCAGAAAUAAUAGGUAGAGAAAAUUCUCCUUCAUUU
rnacentral:rRNA from 1 species